AAGGCUCUACAGGGUGUGGAGAAACCCUGAGGGAGCGGCUGGGUGGGGUAGCCUUUGGGUGUGGACCACUGCCAACUAGGAUAAAAGGCCUUGGGCCACUGGUCGGAGUGAAACUGGAAGUUUGCCUGGUGACAUUUUUUUCAAGGCGGACGUUCUCUCUAACGCUUGUCGCGGCGCUGUCUCUCGCGGGUCCACCCUGCACUGGGCGGGUUCUGUCCAUUCGCAGCUUUAGAUCUGAAGCUCAAAUAAGCACCUGCCUUGAGGGACUCGGGAGGUUGUCUUUCUUCCCCCCGGACAGGGCUUGGGGUAUUAAACAAGUGAGAUCGACCCACGGAUUUGGGGGUUGUCUCACGGGCGUUGGCUUUUGUCGCCCCCACUGAACAGUUUUCUCAGUUUGACUACGUACGGCCGUUAGAGAAAUUAGCGAGCUGAAGACUGAACACGCUUGGGAGGAGAGGGAUGGGGAUCAAAUGUAUCAGAAAGGAGCUAAAUCUGAUGACAGCAAGACCAACCAGACACUCCUUUUCCUCCUUGUCCUCAGCCUACUCAACGUGAAGACAAUGAGAAGCCCUUUGUGAUGAUCCACGUCCACCUAAUGAAUAACCAAGUCAUCUGACUCCAACCUAACUCUGGGAAACUGAGAAAUGGCUUCUGUGUGCUCAGGAAGAAGAAACAGAUGGGAUUGGUGAGCAUCUAGCCAAUUUCCACCACAAAUGCUCAUUUUGGCUGCCUCCAGGCCAAAGGUAAAAACUAAAAAGCCAGAGAAUACUAAAUGUUGGCCAAGAUGAGGAAAACAGAAACUCUCAUCCUCUGCUAGUUGGAAUGAAAAUUGAUGCAACGUCCCUGGAAAACAGUUUGGUAUUACCUAGCAAAGUAGAACCUGUGCCUCCCCUACAACCCAGCAAUUCCACUCCUGGUAUACAAUCAAAAUAAACUUUUGUACUUGUAUCCCAAAUAA
rnacentral:lncRNA from 1 species